GAUAACGCACUGGGGAAGCGCUACGAGGGAAAAAGUACUUACAAGACGGGUUAGGAGCCCAGAGGAUUUUUCGAGAAGGAGACAUUUACUUGUGCAGGAUUUUGGAAGACGAGCUACCUACCUCCCGUCGUCCGUCUUUGGUCAGCCAAGGGGGAGACAGGCUACCGCCCCUCUAGCCCGAGAGGCCGCGCAGCGACCGCGACUCCGCGACUGCGCGCGACCGCGGACGCCUUCAAGCCUGCCUCUUCCGGCCGACCGUUGCGGGGCGUGGCGGUGCUGGGAAGAUGGCGGCGUCCGAGAAAAUGAUGUUUCCGGAGAAGCUAAGCCACAAAAAGUACAGGGCCGCCCUGAAGAAGGAGAAACGAAAGAAACGUCGGCAGGAACUCGCUCGACUGAGAGACUCAGUAAACACUGUUGUACUACAUGGUCUGCAGUUGGUUGAAUCCAAGGAUGCAGAACCACAGAUACAGAGGAAUCAUGGAUGUGGAGAGCCGACUCUAAGUUAUACAUGGAUUUUCAACUGCGUGGAGGGCCAGUGCCCAUUAACCACUGCAUUGUUCAAGGGUCAGCUGUAUGGUGAUUAUCUAGGACUGGGACUCUCACAGAAGGAGGAGGAGGAGACAGCGGCGGAUGCCUUUAUUGAAGAACAACGACGAGAAGAAGAGAGGCUGCUGGAGAGAGAGAGGCAAAAAUUACAUGAGGAGUGGUUGCUGCGGGAACAGAAGGCGCAAGAAGAAUUCAGAAUAAAGAAGGAAAAGGAAGAGGCAGCUAGAAAACGGCAGGAAGAGCAAGAGAGAAAGUUAAAGGAAGAAUGGGAAGAACAGCAGAGAAAAGAGAGAGAAGAAGAGCAGCAGAAGCUACAGGAGAAGAAGGAAAGAGAGGAAGCUGUGCAGAAGAUGCUGGAGCAGGCUGAAAAUGAGUUGGAAAAUGGCACCACAUGGCAAAACCCAGAACCACCCAUGGAAUUGAGGAUAAUGGAAAAAGAUCGAGCUAAUUGUCCAUUCUACAGUAAAACAGGAGCUUGCAGAUUCGGAGAUAGGUGUUCACGUAAACACAAUUUCCCGGCAUCAAGUCCCACCCUUCUUAUUAAAAGCAUGUUUACGACAUUUGGGAUGGAGCAGUGCAGAAGGGACGACUAUGACCCCGACGCAAGUCUGGAGUACAGCGAAGAGGAAACCUACCAGCAGUUCCUGGACUUCUAUGACGACGUGCUCCCCGAGUUCAAGAACGUGGGGAAAGUGAUACAGUUCAAGAGCACAGGCUCCGACGCGCAGGCUCAGCGGCCAUGGCUCACAGGCCCAGCCGCUCCACGGCAUGUGGGAUCUUCCCGGACCGGGGCACGAGCCCGUGUCCCCUGCAUCGGCAGGCGGACUCUCAACCACUGCGCCACCAGGGAAGCCCUAAGGACCUUUUUAUACCGUUAUGUAAAACGAAAUCAGAUUUGUCAUUUUUUAAGACAAAUGGUCAAUGUUCACCCUCACAAGUAAUGGGAACAGUGCAUAUUAAAAUGAGAUGUUAUUCAUACCCAUCGGGAAAAAAAUUAUGAAUUCUAAUAUCAAGCAUGGGCGACGUUGUGUAAAUUAGUAAAACCACUUUAGAGAGCAGUUUGUCAGUACCUAGUGAGGUUGAAAGUACAUGGAACCUACAAAUCAGCAUACUACUUCCGGUCAUGCACACUAGACAAAGUCCUACCGCCCAGAGAGGCGUUCAGGCAUGCUGACUGUAUCGCUGUUUGUUGAUGAAAAAUUGGAAGCACCUUGGAUAUGCAUCAUUAGAGGAGUGGAUAAAUAUAUUUGAUAAUUUGAUAUAGCCAGUAUUUAGUAGUUUAAAAUGAGUUAUUAAGUUUACAUGAUUACAUCUUGAAAAAAGGAUGUGAAAUAAAUAUUAUUUAUAUAAAAUUUUAAAAUGUACAAAGCCAUACUGUAUAUUGUUUAUCAAUAUAUAUACGUGCUUCUUAGCAUAUAUGUACAUAAAUAUGUGUAUACCCAUACGUACAUAACAGACACACACUUCUUUGUAUGUCUGUACAUAAUAUAUGUAUAUAUUUUAUGGCACACAUAUGAUAUAUGUGUAUAUGCCUGUCUGUGUGUAUGUAUGGCUGUGGGUAUUGUGUCUGUGUAGAUAGGGGUGUGUGUGUGUGUGUGUUUGGAAUGUGAAGGUUAUACCCAACCUCAGGAUAGUGUUCCACCUAUGUGAUGGAGGAGGGAGAAGAAUAGGAUGAAAGGGCUUCAACUGGGUCUUUCAUGUUUUAUGUAUUUAAACAUUCUCAGUCAAAAAUGGAAAAUGUUAGUGUUAAAUCUGGGUGGUGUAUAUAGGGGCUGAUUUCUAGUCUCUGUAUUUUUUUUCUUUUUUUAAAAUAGUCUCUGUAUUUUUAUGCAUGUGUGAAGCAUUUCAUAUCUUUGGACAAAAAAGAAUCAGGAUCAACAGGGAUCAGGUAAUUGGGGCCUGCAACACUACCGUCUGCUGAAGUAUGCCUUAAAUAGACGUAAGAGUGGGGUAGUAUCUUAAUUUUGGAAUCUUUGAUUGAUAACAACUUUUGGUAAUGUUGGCCUGGACAAAAAAUGCGUUUGAUGACUGGAGGGCUUCUUUUCCUUAGGUUUUUGCCUUUUUUGUUUGUUUUCUAAUGAUGGAAUUCUUCAUUGCUCCUUAGGUCAGCUGCAACUUGGAACCUCAUCUGAGGGGCAAUGUGUAUGUUCAAUAUCAAUCGGAAGAAGAAUGCCAAGCAGCCUUUUCUCUGUUUAAUGGACGGUGGUACGCGGGAAGACAGCUUCAGUGCGAAUUCUGCCCAGUGACCCGAUGG